AGCUCUGCGCAGUGGCAGUAUCGUAACCAAUGAGGUUUAUCCGAGGUGUGAUUAUUGCUAGUUGAAAACUAUUACCAAUACCCCGCCCUGAUGGAGCUUACGCACUGCCUAUGACAAUUUCUGAAGGGUUCUGCGGAAC